rnacentral:rRNA from 1 species
CACCGCGGUUAUACGAGAGACCCGAGUUGUUAGUUAUCGGCGUAAAGAGUGGUUAAGACAAACUAAUAUACUAAAGCCGAACACCUUCAAGGCUGUUAUACGCACCCGAAGGUAUGAAGAUCAAUAACGAAAGUGGCUUUACACUAUCUGAACCCACGAAAGCUACGGCA